GAAAAAACAGUUUUGCGGUUUUCGCGAUUUUGCGAAAAAAAAUUAUAGACGCAAAUGGGCGUGGCCUAUGCCAAAAGAUGCAGCAGACUCCAGUGAAUAUGUGGGUACAAGUUUUUGACUGUGGGAGGUUCGGUGUGGGAGCUAUAGCCCCAAACGUGUUUCUCCUUGGUAUAGCGCCACCUAGUGGCCGGCAUGUCUGGAUUUAGUCGUCUGCCGUCACCUCACGGACCUGGAUCUAGUCAUGUAAUUGGCGUGUCGGCACCAUUUAUUGUGAAUAUGUGGGUACAAGUUUUUGACUGUGGGAGGUUCGGUGUGGGAGCUAUAGCCCCAAACGUGUUUCUCCUUGGUAUAGCGCCACCUAGUGGCCGGCAUGUCUGGAUUUAGUCGUCUGCCGUCACCUCACGGACCUGGAUCUAGUCAUGUAAUUGGCGUGUCGGCACCAUUUACGGUUUGGGCUGUGGUACCACUUCUAGCUGGGAAUAAUAAUAAUAGGAAGAAAAAUCCUUACAAAAACAAUAGGGAUCCAACCUGUUGGCUUGGACCCCUAAUAAUCCUUACAAAAACAAUAGGGAUCCAACCUGUUGGCUUGGACCCCUAACUAGAACUGCA
ensembl:lncRNA